UACAGAGGUCUCAAGCGUUGUUCGGAUUCAUUGGGCGUAAAGGGUGUGUAGGUGGCGCGCUAAGUCGGGUGUGAAAUUUCGGAGCUUAACUCCGAAACUGCAUUCGAUACUGGCGUGCUUGAGGACUGGAGAGGAGACUGGAAUUCAUGGUGUAGCAGUGAAAUGCGUAGAUAUCGUAAGGAAGACCAGUGGCGAAGGCGGGUCUCUGGACAGUUCCUGACGCUGAGGCACGAAGGCCAGGGGAGCAAACGGG
rnacentral:rRNA from 1 species